AGAGUUUGAUCCUGGCUCAGGAUGAACGCCGGCGGUGUGCCUAAUACAUGCAAGUCGUACGCGUUGGCCCAACUGAUUUGAAGUGCUUGCACGGAUCUGACGUUGGUUUACCAACGAGUGGCGGACGGGUGAGUAACACGUAGGUAACCUGCCCAGAAGCGGGGGACAACACUUGGAAACAGGUGCUAAUACCGCAUAACAAUUCAAAUCGCAUGAUUUGAAUUUGAAAGAUGGUUUCGGCUAUCACUUCUGGAUGGACCUGCGGCGCAUUAGCUUGUUGGUGGGGUAACGGCCUACCAAGGCAGUGAUGCGUAGCCGAGUUGAGAGACUGAUCGGCCACAAUGGGACUGAGACACGGCCCAUACUCCUACGGGAGGCAGCAGUAGGGAAUCUUCCACAAUGGGCGCAAGCCUGAUGGAGCAACACCGCGUGAGUGAAGAAGGUUUUCGGAUCGUAAAGCUCUGUUGUUGAAGAAGAACGUGCAUGAGAGUAACUGUUCAUGCAGUGACGGUAUUCAACCAGAAAGUCACGGCUAACUACGUGCCAGCAGCCGCGGUAAUACGUAGGUGGCAAGCGUUAUCCGGAUUUAUUGGGCGUAAAGAGAGUGCAGGCGGUUUCUUAAGUCUGAUGUGAAAGCCUUCGGCUCAACCGAAGAAGUGCAUCGGAAACUGGGGAAACUUGAGUACAGAAGAGGGCAGUGGAACUCCAUGUGUAGCGGUGGAAUGCGUAGAUAUAUGGAAGAACACCAGUGGCGAAGGCGGCUGCCUGGUCUGUAACUGACGCUGAGACUCGAAAGCAUGGGUAGCGAACAGGAUUAGAUACCCUGGUAGUCCAUGCCGUAAACGAUGAGUGCUAGGUGUUGGAGGGUUUCCGCCCUUCAGUGCCGGAGCUAACGCAUUAAGCACUCCGCCUGGGGAGUACGACCGCAAGGUUGAAACUCAAAGGAAUUGACGGGGGCCCGCACAAGCGGUGGAGCAUGUGGUUUAAUUCGAAGCUACGCGAAGAACCUUACCAGGUCUUGACAUCUUGCGCCAACCCUAGAGAUAGGGCGUUUCCUUCGGGAACGCAAUGACAGGUGGUGCAUGGUCGUCGUCAGCUCGUGUCGUGAGAUGUUGGGUUAAGUCCCGCAACGAGCGCAACCCUUGUUACUAGUUGCCAGCAUUCAGUUGGGCACUCUAGUGAGACUGCCGGUGACAAACCGGAGGAAGGUGGGGACGACGUCAGAUCAUCAUGCCCCUUAUGACCUGGGCUACACACGUGCUACAAUGGACGGUACAACGAGCAGCGAACUCGCGAGGGCAAGCAAAUCUCUUAAAACCGUUCUCAGUUCGGAUUGCAGGCUGCAACUCGCCUGCAUGAAGUCGGAAUCGCUAGUAAUCGCGGAUCAGCAUGCCGCGGUGAAUACGUUCCCGGGCCUUGUACACACCGCCCGUCACACCAUGAGAGUUUGUAACACCCAAAGUCGGUGGGGUAACCUUUUGGAGCCAGCCGCCUAAGGUGGGACAGAUGAUUAGGGUGAAGUCGUAACAAGGUAGCCGUAGGAGAACCUGCGGCUG
rnacentral:rRNA from 1 species